rnacentral:rRNA from 1 species
UGAGGAACAUGACCUUCGGCGGGGGAUAGCCGGCCCAACGGCCGGGUAAUACCGCGUACGACCACAUGGGGACAUCCCUGAGUGGUGAAAGCAGCAAUGCGCCGAUGGAGUGCCUCGCGGCCUAUCAGCUAGUUGGUGAGGUAACGGCACCAAGGCGACGACGGGUAGCUGGUCCGAGAGGAUGGCCAGCCACAUUGGAACUGAGACACGGUCCAGAUUCCGUACGGGAGCAG